CACCCGCAGCUCGAGUGGUAGUCACUUUUAUUGAGCCUAAAGCGUUCGUAGCCGGUUUUGUAAAUCCUCAGACAAAUUCUCCUGCUUAACGGGAGAUACUCUGGAGAGACUGCGAAACUAGGGACCGGGUGAGGUUGAAGGUACUUCUGGGGUAGGGGUAAAAUCCUGUAAUCCUGGAAGGACGACCAGUGGCGAAGGCGUUCAACUAGAACGGAUCCGACGGUGAGGAACGAGGGCUAGGGGAGCAAACCGGAUUAGAUACCCGGGUAGUCCUAGCUGUAAACACUGCCCACUUGGUGUUGCUUCUUCUAUAGGGGGGAGCAGUGCCGGAGCGAAGGUGUUAAGUGGGCCGCUUGGGGAGUAUGGUCGCAAGGCUGAAACUUAAAGGAAUUGGCGGGGGAGCACCGCAACGGGAGGAGCGUGCGGUUUAAUUGGAUUCAACGCCGGAAAACUCACCGGGAGCGACCUUUGGAUGAGAGUCAACUUGAUGAGUUUACUCGAUAGAAGGAGAGGUGGUGCAUGGCCGUCGUCGGCUCGUACCGUAGGGCGUUCACUUAAGUGUGAUAACGAGCGAGACCCCCAUCCUUAAUUGCAAAUCUCAGGGCGACUUGAGAUGCACUUUAAGGAGACCGCCAGCGCUAAGCUGGAGGAAGGAGAGGUCGACGGCAGGUCAGUACGCCCCGAAUCUCCCGGGCUACACGCGCGCUACAAAGGACAGGACAAUGAGUUGCGACCUCGAAAGAGGGAGCUAACCUCGAAACCUGUUCGUAGUUAGGAUUGAGGGCUGUAACUCGCCCUCAUGAAUGUGGAUUCCGUAGUAAUCGCGGGUCAACAGCCCGCGGUGAAUAUGCCCCUGCUCCU
rnacentral:rRNA from 1 species